AAAAACAACUUAAGAUUCAUAUUAUUUUCAUUAUAUUUUGCAGAUCGAGUUUAUAUUCCGAUAAUAACAUUAGCAAGUCUCUAAUUAGUUUGAGAAUUCCAUUGGUUUAUGUGUCUUCAUUAGGGUGCUUUGUUUUGCACGGGAAAGUCCAAGGCCAUACAAAAGAAGAUUUUGGAAUAUCCUAUACGAAAGAGUUGCCUUCAAUGAUUUCAAUGAAAAAAUUACUGCAUCCAAAAAUGGUCCUCCUCAGCGUGUCCAAUCUCGGUUUUCCUCUCGUGGUGCUAAUUUCUUUAAUGAAUUUCUUAAGAAGAAACCUUUUGAAGUAUUAUGUAGGCACGUCUUCAUCUUGUUAA